rnacentral:rRNA from 1 species
GACGAACGCUGGCGGCGUGCUUAACACAUGCAAGUCGAACGAUGAAGCCGGAGCUUGCUCCGUUGGAUUAGUGGCGAACGGGUGAGUAACACGUGAGCAAUCAGCCCUUGACUCUGGGAUAACUGCGGGAAACUGUAGCUAAUACCGGAUACGACACCUUGGGGCAUCCCAGGGGGUGGAAAGAAUUUCGGUCAAGGAUGAGCUCGCGGCCUAUCAGCUAGUUGGUGAGGUAAUGGCUCACCAAGGCGACGACGGGUAGCCGGCCUGAGAGGGUGACCGGCCACACUGGAACUGAGACACGGUCCAGACUCCUACGGGAGGCAGCAGUGGGGAAUAUUGCACAAUGGGCGAAAGCCUGAUGCAGCAACGCCGCGUGAGGGAUGACGGCCUUCGGGUUGUAAACCUCUUUUAGUAGGGAAGAAGCGAAAGUGACGGUACCUGCAGAAAAAGCACCGGCUAACUACGUGCCAGCCGCCGCAGUAA